UAUCGAGUCCAGCUACUAUACUCUUAUGAGUACGAUCGCCUCUCGUACUCAUAAGUUGUUUUCGAUAAUAGAGCUCCGAAACGACGAUCCACACCGUUAAACGUUAUCUAGAGCAUUUAAAAUUGCUAGAAAUUAAAUUUCAUGAUUUUCGACAUCAUUUACCUUACGAUCAAAAGCUCACAAAAUUGACAAUUUUUAACGGCCGGUAUGGAAUACUUGCUAGUUUAACGGUGGAAAAGAAUCGGAAUAGGUUGAAUUUUUGAUAGAAAAUUCUAUUAACUACUUAGAUAAAGAUCAAUAACUCCGAUCUUAAAUUAAAGAUCCGAUCAUCCAUUUUUAGGACGUCGUUUGAUUUUGACCAUUCAUUUAUGCCCGCUUGAUGGACUUUAUUAUGAUUUAAAAAAUUACGAAAUUUAUUUUCUAGAAGUUUCAAAUACUCUAGAUCAUAUUUAACGGAGUGGAUCGUCGAUUCGAAAGCUCCAUCAUCGAAAACAACUUAUGAGUACUAAGGGCCCAUACUCAUAAUAGUAUAGUAGCCCUACUCUAUAUAUAUAUAUAUAUAUAUUUAUAGUGCGGCUAGGAUGCUUAUAGAAGCACGGAGGGCUUCAUGCUUCCACUUGUUUUUCGAUGUUCGGAAGUUCGAAUCGGCGAUCGCUCCGUUAGAGUUGAUCUAGAGUAUUUGAAGUAUCUAGAAAAUAAAUUUUGCGAUUUUUCAAUAUCAUUUGCCUAGUGAUCGAAGUGGCUCAAAAUCAAUGGCUGAAAAUAAAAAUCUUACAAAAUAUGAUGAUAUGACAUUAAAAUUUUAGAUCAAAGUUAUUGAUCUUGUUUUAUAUGGUAUAAAGAAUUUUCUAUCAAAAUUUCAUGUGAUUUGAAUAUUUCUACACCGUUAAACUUGCAACCGGCUCACCACGGCCGUUAAAAUUAUUGAUUUUGAGCCCCUUCGAUCACUAGGCAAAUGCUAUCGAAAAAUCGCAAAAUUUAUUUUCUAGGUACUUCAAAUACUCUAGAUCAACUCUAACGGAGCCGAUCGUUGAUUAGAAAGUCCAAAUAUCGAAAACAACUUGGAAGCACGGAGACCUCGGUGCUUCCAUAAGCAUACCAGCACAACUAUAUAUAUAUAUAUAUAUAUAUAGUAGGGUUUCUGUGCUAUUAGGAGCAUAGCAGUCAGUAUGCUUUUAAAUUUCCAAUCGAUGAUCAGUCGGUACUGUUGAAAAUGAUCUAUACUGCUUGAAUUAUUUAGAAACCAAGAGUCAUACAUCCAGAACUAUUCAGAAUUAAUUAAACCAUAAAAAGAUAUCAUGAAUUCCACACUAAUCUGUUACAUGAAAUCUACAACAGCUAAAUUAAAUGUGCCUCAUAUACAAACAGUAGAUUAAUCUUUCAACACCAU
rnacentral:lncRNA from 1 species